rnacentral:rRNA from 1 species
GCAGCCGCGGUAAUACGUAGGUGACAAGCGUUAUCCGGAUUUACUGGGCGUAAAGGGAGCGUAGGCGGAUAAUUAAGUGGGAUGUGAAAUACCCGGGCUUAACCUGGGUGCUGCAUUCCAAACUGAUUAUCUAGAGUGCAGGAGAGGAGAGUGGAAUUCCUAGUGUAGCGGUGAAAUGCGUAGAGAUUAGGAAGAACACCAGUGGCGAAGGCGACUCUCUGGACUGUAACUGACGCUGAGGCUCGAAAGCGUGGGGAGCAAACAGGAUUAGAUACCCC